AAAAUGUGGAGUAGCUGUAAUAAAUCUACUCCUGUAUUAUGCUUUACAGUGCAGGUCUUAGUUUUUCUUUUUUCUCAUUUCUUUUGAAAUGGCAUCUCGAACAAAGUCCACCAAUCCCUUUACAAAAGAAUGAACUGCUCCUCUGUGUGUACUUCAUAGAAGGUGGAAUCGGACAGAAGCAGGUUAGUGACAGUUAUUCCUGAAAUACAGGAGCAGAGUACAGUCUGUUGUGGUUUCCCGGAUUCCGCGCCUAGCUCAGCCAAUUAAGCAUGAGACAUAGGCCAUUGAGCCACUUAGUAGUUAUGCGAGUGGAUAGAUUGGUAUGUAGAGGGAAAGAGGUCUGCUGUAAAGAACAACACUUGUUUGUCUGUGGGGAAAGAAAAGCAGAAUACUUGAGAUGAAAGUUGGCAUACAAAUAGGAUACUAUCGCCAGUAGUUAUAUUACAAACAUUAUCGGCCUUUCUAGUGUGAAUGAACAUUAGACACAUUAUUGUCAUUCCUAGUUUAAAGUUAAGGUUGCGUGGUUGGAUUUUUCCACUAUCUUUUUCUAAUUUUUCUACCAUUUGGAGACCGUAGGCAUUUGGGCCUGUCACCCCUUGGAUGGGUUCCUAGUUUGUUUACAUUUUCCUGAACCCUCCUGAGCGCCCGUUCUUGGUCUAAUCCCCAGUCGUGAUGAUUCCACACUUCCUCAGCCGCAUGUUGUCUUGCCUCAUUCAUGAGCUGGUCAGCGUUUCGUCUCUUUAACUGACAUGUUCCCCAGUGCUGUUUGAACUGUUGAGUUUCCGUUGCUGGCUGAGUGCGUUUUGUCCUUCACGUAACCUUCGCUGGUAAAAAUAAGCCCAUGUGAUGUCCACCAGUGGAUGAAUGCUGGACCGAGAGCCCUAGCUUCUGGAUCCAGGUCUAGGCCCUUCAUCUGCUGCUCUGUGGCCCAGGGCAGGUUUGCUUGACCUCUGCCUCAGUUCUCGACUCUAAAGGACAUACUGACCUACCUCACAGGGGUGUUGUGAGGAUUAAUAAAUGUUGGUACUCUGCUUUGGAAAUGUGAAAAUGCUGUGUAAAUGUUAAGAAAUACUAAGUAUAGGGCCAGAAGCUAUACAGUGUUUCACUUAACCGUUUGCCAUUCUGUAUUUACCAAGGUGGUCUUUUCUGGGGAAGGAAGUAGAGUGGAAGGUGCAUCCCUUGGCCCCUGGUUUACAUUAUUAGGGUGCUUAUUGUAGGAAUGCACUCUAAAAAGUGGGCGUAGAAUGAAAGCAGCCGUCCAGUGGUCCUCCCUUUUCUGUAGUUUCACUUUUCUUGCUUCAAGUUACAGCAG
rnacentral:lncRNA from 10 species